rnacentral:ncRNA from 1 species
AUUAAUGCAUUGAGCAAGAGAGUAUCCGCCAGUGAGGUUUCAGAAAGAAAAUCAAUGAUGAGAGAUUUUUACCGACUGUUGUGAGAAAGUAACUUGUGAGCUACUCGUUCAAAUUUUGAGAACGGGUCGGGUAUAUCUAACCGUUACCAUGAUAAUAAGUGGGGCUUUUGGCCCAAUUUAGGUGGUACCGCGAACACUUCGUCCUAAUU